rnacentral:lncRNA from 1 species
AGACGGCCCUAUCCCUGUCUCCCUUGGCUGACUCUCUUUUCGGACUCAGCCCGCCUGCACCCAGGUGAAAUAAACAGCCUUGUUGCUCACACAAAGCCUGUUUGGUGGUCUCUUCACACAAACGCGCAUGAAAUUUGGUGCCAUGACUCGGAUCGGGGUACCUCCCUUGGGAGAUCAAUCCCCAGUCCUCCUGCUCUUUGCUCCGUGAGAAAGAUCUACCUAGGACCUCAGGUCCUCAGACUGACCAGCCCAAGGAACAUCUCACCAAUUUCAAAUCUGGUAAGUGGCCUCUUUUUACUCUCUUCUCCAACCUCCCUCACUAUCCCUCAACCUCUUUCUCCUUUCUAUCUUGGCGCCACACUUCAAUCUCUCCCUUCUCUUAAUUUCAAUUCCUUUCAUUUUCUGGUAGAGACAAAGGAGACACAUUUUAUCCGUGGACCCAAAACUCCGGCGCCAGUCACGGACUCGGGGAGGCAGCCUUCCCUUGGUGUUUAAUAAUUGCGGGGGUGCCUCUCUGAUUAUUCACCCACGACCCCACUGAAAAUCGGACUGUUCAACUCAUCUGGCAGCCACUCCCAGAGCCCCUGGAACUCUGGCCCAAGCCUCUCUGACUGACUCCUUCCCAGAUCUUCUCGGCUUAGCAGCUGAAGACUGACACUGCCCAAUCGCCUUGGAAGCCCCCUAGACCAUCACGGAUGCCGAGCUUCGAGUAACUCUCACAGUGGAGGGAACGCGCAUGAAAAAACCAAACAAACAAAAAAAUUUCUUUUGGUAGCAGAAUAAAAAAACAAAAAAAAGGACUUUUUCUUCUGGACUGAACUAUAUUUAAAUCUCAAAGGAUGGACAUCUCACAACCUUCCUACAGCAAGUACUGUGAGAGCUGCAUCUUGUCCCACUGGAUGGUCUUCAGAGACAAUAAUACAUAAUGGAGCUGUCAUCUCCUAUGAUAACAAUGCCUUCUUCUGGAUACCUCCUGAAGGACCUGCCUGAGGCUCUUUCACUGUUAGUUUUUUUUUAAUAAGUAGAAGGAUUACACUCUAAAAUAAUAAGUGUAGUAUAGUAAAUGUAUAAACCAGUAACAUAAUGGUUUAUUAUCAUUAUCAAGUAUUACAUACUGUACAAAAUUAUAUGUGCUACAAUUUUAUGUGACUGGCAGCACAGUAGGUUUGUUUAUACCAGCAUCACCACAAACACGUGAGUAAUAUGACACACCAUGAUAUUCUGACAACCAUGACAUCACUAGGCCAGGGAAUUUUUUAGGUCCAUUAUCAUCAUAGGCGACCACAGUUGUAUAUGUGAUGUGGUCUGUCAUUGACUAAAAUCUCAUUAUGACUGUACUUAGUCUCUAAACCUUAUUCUAUUUCUUUCUUUUCUUAUGGCUUUUUCCUCUAUAAGAACUCAAAGGGGGAGAGAAAAAGACGAAAAAUAUCUUCAAAGAGGAGAACAAAUCUGAUCUUUCUCUACGUCUGCUUAGUUGGCGUAACUUUAGGAUGUCCAUAAGUUGUAGCUUUCCUGGGAAAAUUUGAUUUUACACUGGUUAUCCCAACAUAAUAUUAAUGGUAUCCUCUUAGACUCUCAAUAGUGUCCGGUUUGGAUGACAAAUUCUGUGGUCUUUUUAGCCAACUGCUACUGAAGUGGUCAGAUUUAUUGCACAAAAUAUAUUUUUAAAAAUAAGUAGCACAAGAUGAAAUAUGGCCUCAAAUUUCUUGGUUAGUUUCCACUAGAAAGUUUUAAACAUUAAAAAGUACAAAAUUCAUUACAUUUAUUGAAUGAUAAAGUAUAACAUUGUAUGAAGUUGAUGACUAUUAAAACUAUUUGAGUGUUUAAGUUUUGUCAGGUUCUCUUUGGUGAUGUCAGUUAAGUGUCUUUCAUUAAUUCUUAUAUGCCUCACUUUUCCUGUAAAUAACUUAUUAACCACCCACUACUUUUUUUCUGACUGAUUAAAUGGUAUAAAUGUCGAGAAAAACAACAUGAAUGACAUAAAUGCCAAGAAUCAGUUGAAAUGUAAAAAUAUAUUUAAUACAGAGGUUCUGUUUAUGACUCCUUAAAACAUACUUAAGGAAGCACACAGUUAACUAAUAACAGCAAUUAACUAGGAUUGGUAGAAAACCUUUAUUUUCUUAUUCUAUAGUCCAUUUGUGAGGAGCUUAAUAUAAGAAAGUUAGUAGGUCAAACUAAUAAUAGGGCAAAGUACUGUUCCAAGAACUUGUCUAAUGAUGUUCCAGUGCCAAAAAUGCUCUGAAAAAUUGAGAUAAUUGAAGUCUUUGAUCAGAAGGGUGUAAAAUAAUGUUGGAAAUAAUCAAGUGAAGAUGUAAAGCUAUGACUCGGUUUCCCAUGCUGAGCAUGUUAACAUUCUUCACUGUUUCUUCUUGCAUGCUGUACAUGGCCGACAUUUUUCAAAGUAAUGAGAAACACUAUUUGGUGAAGUUCUUUUCAUCUUUGCUGUCCACAUGUAUCACUCCCAUCCAAAAGUUGCAGUUGCAUUUAGCAGUUGCAAAGGAAAGGAUUUUCUCACGUAGGCAUGGAUACUUGAAGGGGCUG